UACGUGCACUCCGAUUCGAAAGCCCGACGAUGUGCUACCCUCCGGGCCGUUGUUGACGCGGUUAAUCGAGGCGGAAAAAUCGAUUGUGUUCGUGUGAUUAUUUUUGUUUUGGUUGCGGCCUCUCGCCCCCGUAAUCACCGCGCGGCCUCGGCCACAUGACUCAUGCCAGGCAGCAACAAUGAAAAACCACAAUAAGUACGCCAAGUUACCCCAAGACCUCGAUCUGAGUUUCCGCAGUGAUUUGGACCUGCUGCCGGACACAGCGGCCGACAUCGACGUUGAUCUGGACGCGGAUGUGGCCGCUCUCGGUGUGAACGUGCCCGCGUCUCUGGGCCUCGACGAGGACUACGACGAGGAGGUAAUCGUCGCCUCAGGCGGAGGAGGUCUUCGACUAGCCCCCACGGCGGCGGAGGCAGCGGAGGCCCGCAAGCAGCCGCAGCAGCGCCGGCAGCGGAAGAACCAGCUGGAGCAGGAAAUCACGGCCAAAGGCAAAAUCUGCGGCCUGGGCAGCGACAGCGUCAUCGAGACGGGUCUAACCCUCACACCCGAAAUGUUGUUAUCCACCUCGGAAUCAUCGACCCACAGCGCCUCCGAGGUCGCAGGUCGCCUGCAGGUCGACGUGCGGACCGGCCUCAAAUGGACGGAAGCUAAGUACCGUGCCAAGAUUAUCGGGCACAACGAGCUGCUCCUCGUCGCAGAGGACCCAACCUGGAAGAAGUAUAUUGAGCAGUUCAAGAACCCGCUCAUUCUGCUGCUCCUUGGUUCAGCCCUGGUGUCCGUGAUCAUGAAGCAAUUUGACGACGCCGUGAGCAUAACUAUUGCCAUCCUGAUCGUCGUCACGGUGGCCUUUAUUCAGGAGUACCGCUCUGAGAAGAGCCUGGAGGAGCUGAAGAAACUGGUGCCACCCGAGUGUCACUGCCUGCGCGAAAGUCGUUUGGACACUUUCCUAGCACGCGAACUGGUCCCCGGGGACAUCGUGCACCUUAACGUGGGCGACAGGGUGCCCGCCGACGUUCGCCUUUUCGAGGCCGUGGACCUGUCUAUCGACGAGAGCAGCUUUACCGGUGAAACGGAGCCUGCUCGCAAGAUUACUGACGUCCUGCUCAACAACACGAACGUAAAGGACCACAGCAACAUGAAGAACAUAGCUUUUAUGGGCACUCUGGUGCGGUGUGGCAAUGGUAAAGGCAUCGUUGUCAGCACUGGGGAGCGCAGCGAGUUCGGCGAGGUCUUCAAGAUGAUGCAGGCGGAGGAGGCUCCGAAGACGCCGCUGCAGAAGUCUAUGGACAUCCUGGGCGCCCAGUUGAGCUUCUACUCCUUUCUGAUAAUCGGCGUCAUCAUGCUACUCGGCUGGUUGCAGGGCAAGCCUCUCUCAGAGAUGUUCAACAUCAGUGUAUCGCUGGCCGUGGCGGCCAUUCCCGAGGGCCUGCCGAUCGUAGUGACAGUCACCUUAGCGCUUGGCGUGAUGCGGAUGGCUAAGCGGAACUCUAUCGUAAAGAAGCUGCCUACUGUUGAGACCCUUGGCUGCGUGAAUGUCAUCUGCUCUGACAAGACAGGCACCUUGACCAAGAACGAGAUGACGGCCACGAUCAUCAUCACUUCAGACGGGUACAUGGCGGACGUAACCGGCGCAGGCUACAACGACCAGGGAGAGAUCCACAUUCGGCACUGCAACAACGUGGAGAUGGCCAAGACCAAUAUUACAAACCUCCUGGAAAUCGGGGCGGUCUGCAACAACGCGUACAUCCAAAACGGUACCUUGUUAGGACAGCCAACUGAGGGAGCUCUCGUGGCGGUGGCCAUGAAGAACGGCAUGUACGCCACAGCAGAGAACUACGUUCGCAUCCAGGAGUACCCUUUCAGUUCGGAACAGAAAAUGAUGGCUGUCAAGUGCAUUCACAAAUACAACAACAACAAGGAGGAGAUUUUCUUUGCCAAGGGGGCCCUAGAAACGCUCCUCCCACAGUGCACCAAGUACCAGUUCGGCACCCAGUCGGUACCACUAACCAAGCAGAACGAGGCAGAGUUCCUAGCCGAGGCGUACGAGAUCGGGCGGAAGGGCCUUCGGGUGCUGGCACUGGCCAAAGGCCGGUCCAUGCAGGAUCUGAUCUACUGCGGCCUUGUCGGCAUUACCGACCCACCGAGGCCCCUUGUGCGGGAGUCCAUCGAGAUGCUGAUGCAGAGCGGAGUGCGGGUUAAGAUGGUGACUGGAGAUGCCCAGGAAACGGCCUUGGCCAUCGCGAAUCUCAUAGGCAUCGAUACAAUUCACCACCAGACUCUGUCCGGUCAGGAGAUCGAUCAAAUGAACGAGCACCAACUGGACAAAGUGGCCAACAAUGUGAGUGUCUUCUACCGAGUAUCGCCACGCCACAAGCUGGAGAUAGUCAAGUCCCUGCAGCGCACCGGCAACAUAGUCGGCAUGACUGGCGACGGUGUGAACGACGGAGUGGCUCUAAAGAAGGCGGACAUCGGCAUUGCAAUGGGGAAAAACGGGACGGAUGUAUGCAAGGAGGCUGCAGACAUGAUUUUGGUCAAUGACGAUUUCCACACCAUAAUCGCCGCCAUCGAGGAGGGUAAGGGCAUCUUCUACAACAUCCGGAAUUUUGUGCGCUUCCAGCUGAGCACAUCAAUUGCCGCCCUGGCGCUCAUAGCUUUGGCCACUCUGAUGGACAUUGCCAAUCCCCUUAACGCCAUGCAGAUUCUAUGGAUCAACAUCAUAAUGGAUGGUCCGCCCGCCCAGUCUUUGGGCGUAGAGCCCGUGGACCACGAUGUUCUUAAGCAGAAACCGCGAAACGUUAAGCAACCAAUGAUUACCAAGUCUGUGGUGGUGAACGUUCUGCUCAGUGCCAGCAUAAUAGUGCUGGGCACGCUUUGGGUGUUUCAGCGCGAGAUGGCCGACGGCACGUUAGGAAAGACCAAGCGUGACACGACCAUGACCUUCACUUGCUUUGUAUUCUUCGACAUGUUCAAUGCGCUUUCCUGCCGCUCGCAGACAAAAAGCGUGUUCACCAUCGGGCUGACCACCAACCGCAUGUUCCUGCUAGCCGUCGCCUUCUCUAUUAUUGGACAAAUGCUGGUCGUCUACUUUCCACCGCUGCAGAUGGUUUUUCAGACGGAAGCCCUUAGGCCAUACGACAUCUUCUUCCUGGUGUCCCUCACCUCUUCGGUUUUGGUUGUCUCCGAGAUUAAGAAAUGGUUCGAGCGCACCAUGGAGCGAAAGAUGUACAGCACCCGCUCCGAGCUGGACUUUGUAUGACAAAAAGCAAGCGCUAGAGAAGAUGUGCACUGCAAAGCCGAGUAAAUUAAAUAACUAAACAAAAACCCAUAAAAAAAUCAAAACUAUGCCAAAACAAGCGAGAAGCGCGGCGAAGAACAGCCACAGAGACGCAAAAGGCGGAACAGGAGCAAGGGAGCAGCGAUGUGUGUGUUUACUUUUAUAUUUGAUUCGACCAAUAAGCAAUCAUUUAAUCGGCAAUGUGGGUUUCGACCAGACCGAGCGAAACAGGAAUUUUCAUAGAUUUUAACGAUGCAACUGGAAACCGGUUACUUGAUUUGGUUGAAUCCGACAAAGUCCUACAGGCAAAUACAGAUUAAUCUAGGUAUCCGUCAACACAAAUGGAAAUAAUGGAUGUGAGUUAAGGAAGGCAAGAAAAGGACAUAGCAAGGCGUAGUUAAAUAAAACAUGGUUUUUGUUUUGGUAACAUUGUUAUAUAACUUAUUCGGUAUUUGAGAAGCAUACACUCAAUUUGUGUAUCUUAAAUGAACGCAAAUUGAAACUCUAGCGCGCUAGCAAUUUCUCCAUUGAAACAUUAAAUGGAGAGUCAAGAUUCAGCUAUGGAACAUUUUACAUUUUAAAACAUUCGAUCGAAAUUGUUCUUGUUUUGAACAGGUUUUUCUACAUAGAAUAGAACUAAAGCACUAUGCCAAUUGCAAAAUGUCACAGGGCGAACUGCACGCGAUUACUCAAAUGUUAAGUAAUUUAUCGAAUUACGAGCGUAUAUUUAAUUCAAGUGUUUAUUCUUAGAAUAGCUUGAAGAUGUGUAGUUUAAAAUUUCAGUUUUGGGGUUAAAUUUAAUGCAGAUGCAAUACCGCCAUUAAACGACAUAUACCAAUGCAACGUAUCUUGCGAAUUGUAAUCAAAAGUAUGCAUCUCAUUAGUCAAUUAAUGCAUUUUUAAUACAUAUAAAGAAAUAUCCCAAGAUUUAUAAAAACUAUACAACUAAACUCUUAAAUAUCAUUGACAUUCGAUUCAUAUCAUAACUCAGAGAAAGAACCCAUGAAAGGCAUUUUCACACGUAGAACCACAGUUUAAUUAUGCACCGGUGCAUAUCACAGUUGUCGCUGCUUUCGAUCAAUAAACUAUAAAAGCAUUCGUCAUAAUUCACAAUUUUUUGAGUGUAAUUUAUUUUUGUGCCACACUGCAAUUAAUGGACCAAUAAAGAAAUUAUUUAUUUAAACACACACACACAGUAAGGUCAGGCUUAGCUCGUCAGAGAAACGCUCUCAUAUAUCAAGGCAAGAAAAAAAAAGAAAAAUUUGAAAAAAAAAGGAACAUUUCAUAUCAACCUUACUUCUCCAUUUUUCUAAAUCACAACGUACUUCGCUUACCAUUAUUCUCCUUGUACCUAUUUUGACAAUACUACCACUUUUAAUGGAAGGCAUUAUGAGUCAAGUGCAUCUUCAUUAUAUUUUCAAGACUUCUAUCUGCUCUCUUUUGCCUCAUAAAACCCUUUAUUUAUCCAUGGAAAGAUUAAACAAUGCAAAUUGUGUUCCUUUUGGAUGAAAUAAUACUUUUAUUUUCAACUUUUACGCGGCUAUACUGUGAAAGAGUAAAAAAUUGAUAUGUGGGUAAUUAUUGGGAGAGAAGUGCGUUACAAUAAACUAAUGCCCUUAAAAAAUGGAUGGCGAGGUCGAUAUAAAGCGUACCAAAUAUAAAAAAGGAAAAAUUAGAAUGGAAAAAGCUCGAUCAACAGAGCAAACAAUCAUCGGCUCAUUAAAAUUACCCACGCAUAAUGAUAUACUAUUAGUACUCGUACACUAUACAUAAAAACACAAAUUUACACAUCCAUUCUCAUUCACUCACAUCUCAUCCACAAUGGUAACAAUAACUAGAAAAUUAAGCGUAAUGAGAAACUUAAUAUCUAAAGGAAGAUAAAUAGUGCACCAAAUAAUAUGCAUACACCUAAUAGUCAAAACAGGUAUAAUUAAAUAUAUAAAAAUUAAACUUAAUUACUCAAUGUUGUGUAUGUAAGGAAUGCCCAGAAUCAGUCCUUGCAAUAUUCAAUAAUUUAUAAUGAUUGAUUAUACUAAACGAGCUAUUAACCACAGGAAUAUUCAUGACUGUCCAUGAAUAAUACACGUAAAUGUAAAUGUCUAACAAUGCCGGCUGAUUCUAUAGCUCCAGAAGUAUGUAGCCUGAUUUCAUUAUUCACUCAAUUAUAUUUCCAAUAGAGUUCGGUUAAUUAAAAUGUACAAACUAAUGGCAAACUAACAAGUUCGUAAAAUACUACAUGGAAAAAAGCUUAACAUAAAAAUAACUAUACCUAUCUGUGCUAUUAAAUGUAAGCUUUAAAGUAUUUACAUAUAAAUAUUUAAAUGCCACUAUUAACUACACAUUCAUAUUUCCGAAAUUUUUAAAGGAUUACCCCAAAGCACUAGACAUAAUUUAAAUUGCACUGUCAUCGUUGUUUUAUUGUACCCAUCUCUUAGCAAUGUUGAACUAAGCAAAAGAAUUUAAUUUAUGAUUUCCUAAAUUUUAUAUUGAAAAUCGUAAAAAUUAAAUUAAUUAAGCAACGGUAACAAUACUAAUAUAUUAAAUAUUUAUCUGUGGAAUAUCGCGAAACAAAUAUUUACUGAAUAUAAUAAACAUUAUGUAGUAAAUACA